rnacentral:rRNA from 1 species
UACGGAGGGUGCGAGCGUUGUCCGGAAUCACUGGGCGUAAAGGGCGCGUAGGCGGCCAACUAAGUCAGACGUGAAAUCCCUCGGCUCAACCGGGGAACUGCGUCUGAUACUGGAUGGCUUGAAUUCGGGAGAGGGAUGCGGAAUUCCAGGUGUAGCGGUGAAAUGCGUAGAUAUUCGGAAGAACACCAGUGGCGAAGGCGGCUCACUGGCCCGGUACUGACGCUGAGACGCGAAAGCGUGGGGAGCGAACCGG